GAAGGGGGCAGCAGGGGGUACGCGGGUGUGGUUACGAGGACCGUCGACACUCCCGCCGCGGCCGAUACCUCUAGAGAGAAGGCCGAUUAUUCGACCCGCAAGGCCUCGGAACUGGGUGAUACUGUCUGGAGGUGCCCACAACCGGAAGCCCAAUGGCAUCCUCGGUGCUCUGUGUAGGGAGCACUUCCCUGGGCUCGUGGAGCAUGCCGGGGUCAUGGAGCCGGCCUACACGUGAGACCACUACAUGGCCGUCGCAGAUGCAGAUGAUCGGGAAGGGAGGAAUUUCGGCACCAAGGCGAGGCGUGUGGUCUGGGAAUUGUGGGUAAGUAAUCGUGGCACUACAUUGGUCAAUAUAUCGUAUGCACUUUAAAUUCUUGGAAUACUUACUGCAAGUAUCGGUCCUAUAUGCAGGAUUUCUACAGGUGUGCUCCAGGUUAUGAGGCUAGGGCAAAUCAAGUGGCUAACAAAGCCUGCUACAAACUAGUGAAGGACAUGCACUACGAGGUGCGCAUUCAGGCCAAUGUCCGAUACAUUGCCGAUUAUGAGAAAAGGUCGAUCAAGAAAGGACCCGCAAGGGAACUCUUUCUUAGGCCGGAUCAAUACGCGAGGGUGAUCCUGAACUGGUGCGCCGGGAAGGCUGAGUGCUGGGCUAUGAUGGUCGAUAAGUGGAUGAGCGAGGAGUGGGCCCGGCAGCACGCCUUAUGCCGGGAGCGUCGCUUGAUGAUGCCCGGUGCAGCGCGCCAUCAAGGCAGUCGUAGCCUUCCCAAGUUUCAGGAGGUUUUGGUACGUGAAUUCACUUUUUCAUUAUUUCUAACGCUAAAUUCUGCAUGCUUACUAAUCAUCUUGUUUUUUCUUUGCAGUCGGCACGAC